UUCAUUCAGAGCAAGAGGAUAGAUACAUUAUACAAGGUGGAGACUGACUUGACUAUUGAUCAUAUUGAGUUCUGUAUCUUUGUGGGUAACACUUUAUUUGAACCUAUUUAACAUUUAUAAGCACUAAAUAAACAAUAAAUUAUAACACACUGUAAUGUAGCUGUAAGCAAUUAUAAAGACAUUUAAAGUGUUCAUUAAUGUUUUUGUCAACAAUAAUAAUUCCUCAUAUGAAGAAUCCAUUACUGCUGUAUUAACAGUUAAUGAAUGCUUGGUAACACUACACACAAACAUUCAUACCGUGUGUUAGAAAGCAUUUAUUAAGUGUUUAUACACAUGCAGGUGGGUUUUUAAUUAUAUUAUUCAUUCAUUAGCUUUUUUACAUUUUUUAACUUUGCAUUUUGCAUGUCAACAGUUACAGCUGUCAAAAUCAACAUUAAGUCAACAGAGGGUCAAGCAAUGUGACAAAACAAAAAUCAAAUUAAAUAAAAAAUUAAUUAAUAAAUAAACACAAAAAGCUAAGUCCAGAGAUCGUGUGCAGAAAAGUUCUAUGACAGAUAUAACUCAAAAUCAUUUAUAAUUUAAAUGCUAAUUUGAAAUCAGUUAGAAGUCUAUUUAUGUAGCACAGUCAUUGUGGAAUGGGUGGGAAUUUUAGCUGAGCACAUUUAGUUUUUUUACAUAUUGUAGGAGCUGGAGCGCCGCUAAGGGGGGGGGGGCAUGGCCCCCCUGAUACAAUUGCUUGCCCCCCCUCGUGAGUCACAUAUGCAUAAUAUGCUUCUGAGUAAUGAGUACUGUAUGCAUAUAUGCUUCUAUCUGAUAAUUUACAUUAGGUACUAUUCAUUUAAAUCAAGAAUGUAUAUUUUUCAUAAUAGUUCAUGAAAACGUUCUGGGGGCGGCACUUUGUAGGAGUACAUUUGCACUUAAUGAUGUCAUCUGGACAUUACUUCCUAUUUUACAGUAGAGCCUUGUUGACUUGCUAUAGAUAAUAUUCACCCCGAAACUUGAGAAUGUCCUUCAAAUGAUUAGAAGAAACCAGCUUAUUUAUUACAUACAUGCUUAGCUAUAUUACAAAUCCGUCUGCGAUCACAUUCUGAAUCACCUAAUAUCAUUUCGCAGAGUAAGACAUGUAGGCUACCUUCAGCUUUUGUCACUGUACUUGUGUAAUUUCUUCACCAAUUAUUCUGACCUAAGGAAAAUCUAACUGCAGCAGCAGUAGCCGAUCUAUAAAGUCGUCUCUCUCCAUGUUGUAAUACUUUGAAGGAUUCCGUUCAUCAUUGUACAAGUCCAAGCAUGUUUCCCUCUGUUUAGCGCUACUCAUCUUUGUAAUUUCACUUUACGCUGUUGUGCUGUUUAUUGUACUGUUGGGGUGUCGUGCAAAAAUAAUUCAAAGCAGAAGAACAAAUAGUUCUAAGUCAGUACUGUGGCUUAGUGAUUUCCCUCCUAAACACUAAUUUGUACAAAUGUGGUUAGCAAACCUGUUUUGAAUGUAUCACUCGAUUGAAUGGACGUUAUCAGUGGUUAUCAGCCUCAUAGAUAUGGGUUAGAAGGGGCCUGCUACACCUACUGGUAGGUUCAGAAGGCCGUUAUCAUCUGUUCACGUGUUUGAUCACGAUACGAAUACAAGAAGACUCCAGAUCCAGUCCAAGAGGAAUCCAGCUCACCGCUAAACCUGAAGUCUGGUGGAUAACGUGGUAUUUUCAGGUUCCAUCGAUUUUCAGGAAGCAUGUGAUCCCUCUUGACCUGUCUACUUCUGCUUUGAUGAGACUAUUGAAGAAGAUGAAGUUUCGAGGAGUCUGAUUGAUGCCUUCCAUAUGAAGACUCCGACAGCUGAGGAAAAGCUCAUGCUUUACCAGGAAAUGAGAAUUAUUACUGACCACCUCCAUCAGCAGCAUGCCUUUCUGUGCUGUGUCAUCAAUGACACAGCACAGCUCAUCCAAAGUCUCAAACCUCUGGAAAGAAAGCUACAUCACGGCGCUGUGAUGGUUCACCAACGCAUGGUUACAUCACCCCAGACUGUCUCAGGCCCUCCUCAUGUCAAGCAUACAGACGCUGGUAUACAAUGAUGAUGGUGAUCAUCAUCAUGAUCACGAUGAUGAGGAUGACAAUGAUAGCAGCUAGGACUGUAAGCACUCAUUCGGGAUUUUUAAUGAAUAAUUUGAGCCAGCUUGUAUGUUUUGUUAUUUAUCAUCCUCCUUGAUUCAGUGCAAACCAAAAUAAAUCUAACUCAGACAGUUUAGGUUCUGUGCGUGUUUUCAUUGUAACUGGUCAGUCUUAAUUUAUGCUGUGUUGCUGAUCACUUGAUUAGUCUAACAGCAACAAAGUCCAUGUUUGUUUUUUUCAAAACACUUGGUUUAAACUUGCUCUUUUUGGACAAUAAACACUGUUUUUGUAGAAGUUGUUGACUCAGUGACUUUCUAAAGCCUUGUAGUGCUCAAGGUAUAACCAGCAUUGCUAUUAUGAAUAACCUUACAAUUAACACUAACCACAUCAGCACACCAUGUUUUUGUAAAAAGGACACAUUUGUGAAAGAGGGCUUGCCCUCAGUAUGUUUUCAAUGUGUAAAUGAAGGUUACUGCUACAAUACACUCAAUUUCAGUUCGGGAAAUGAAAAGGAACAGACAGGUGUAUUGACAGCUUUCCCACGAUGAGUUAUAGCCACGAUUUCAGCCAUUGUCACGGCAGUUGUUCACAGCACACGUGAGAAAUUAAUAAAAAAGUAAAUUACUUAAUAGAUUACUUAUUAUACAGUGAUUUUACAGUCAUAAUCAGCCAUAGGUUUUUUUUUCCCUCUUCCCAUUGGCUGCUUUCGGUGUAAACCCUCGGGAUGUUCGACUCCUGGUUUGGCUAAAAUAUCUUAAAUAAACCAACAUCUUUACUUUUUCUUAACAUAGAUCAUCUAGAUGCAGUGUAACCAGUAGUUCGGCUGUACUAGAUAUUUGAUAUAUUCAGUAGAUAUAUCUUUUUACAACCGUAUUUACAACCUUACUUUGCAAACUGGAAGAACUACAACUGUGGUGCUGAUUUGUAUCAAGCUGCAUGGCGCGGCUCUAGGGAAUUGUAGUUUUUAUAAUACUGAAUUUAGAGUACACUGGGGAGUUUAAGGGGGUGAUUAACCCAUUUGUGUAAUCCGAUUUUAAAUAUCUAAUUGUUAAAUGGGUGAAAAUGUAUUUUAACCAUAUUUCAGAUCUGACAGUGCCCCCAGUUGUUGACUAUACUCACAUGAUGGCUGAGGUCAAAGCUCUCUGUAACAGUUGGUCCCAUGUAUGUAGCCCCUUUUGUUGCUGGAUUACAAGCCUUCAAACAUGCACCGAGGUCAAGGUUCAAAUGUCAGUAUUUCAAAGCAGGAGCCAUGAAGAAUCUUCAUGCUGACAUAUGUUAUGUGUUGUCUCCCAAAAAACGCAACACAGAAGAAUAAAAAUAGACGAAGGUUAGGCAAUAAUAUGAAUAAUGAAAUAAACAAAGUAAUAUUAAAAUUAAAUUGAAAUUUAAAAAAAAAUCUAUUUACAGAAUGGAAUAGUGAUAGUUUUGAAAUGGGAUAUAAAAGUUGUAAUUAAAUACUGACUGUACAAAAGAAAUAUGGAUUGUGCCAAGGACAGAAGUUCACUUUUGGGGACAUUACAUAGACUUACAUCCAUUUCCUGGAGACUUACCCUCACUCUAACCUCUAACCCCUAAACCUUAACCACUGACCCAAAAAUCAGCUUUUUCCCAAUUUGGGACAAGGGUUUUGGCCCCAAUUGGUCAAGCCACCCCCCAAUUCACUGGUCUUCAGUCUGAAAAGUGUCCCUGAAGGUAGCCUAAGUCAGACGCACACACACACACACACAAGCACACAACGUUGGAAGGAAGACUUAAGAAAGGGGAUUUCAUAUUAAAUAUCCUCAGCCACAUAUUCUUGGAAAUACAAAAUUAAAUGAGCAACUUUACAUUUUACAAUCACAGGAUAUAAAACGCCCUUCCGUCACAGAGACAGUGGCGUUUGGACUCAGGUUACGGCCGACCGGCAGCUAUUUGAAACGGAAUGAAGCCCAAACGGGAGUCGAACGCGCCAAGGCCGCCCACAACACAGCGUUCUCCACAUGCGUAGCAGCGUCCAUAGCAACCACAAUAGCAACGAUCUGGCCUGAAAGAAUCUUCGUAAGGAUCAUAGGCAUUCAGUGCACGAAUAUUAGGACAAUAAAAUGCACAGAUCUAGAAAUGUUCUAAAAACGCAUUUUAAUGCCGAAACUAUCUUAAAAUAUUGCAUUUUGCACUGAGAAUAAAAGGAAUGUCCGCCAUUUUUUUUUUGGUUGUUUUCACGGAAAGAAACUUGGCAGUCACGUGCCGUCACGCCAUUUUUACCUGUUCCAUCCAAUGGAAAUGAUCUCCGCCGCCUGCGGUCCACCGGGAGCUAGCCUCAGUAACUAAAGAAAUUAGCCCAUGUGAACAGAUGCUAACGGCCUCUGAACCCGGGCCCGGAGCAGGCCGCGUCUAACCCGUCUCUACGAGGCUGACAGGCGCAGAUCUGUAUUCAUCAGCUUUCCUGUGUUGUUUCUUUCACUUUAUUUUCAUCUGUCACCUUAUUCACCUUACCCCCC